UCAAAGAGUUGUUUUCACUCGUUGUUUGGUUCUGUACUGUAGGCAUGGUGAUGCAUGAAAGAUCUUUUUCUGUCCUCACAUCCUUUUAUUGCCUUUUAUUUUCAAUCCACGAUAACACAAACGCCAGUUUGGCAUCCAACGCAGUUUUCCUUGUCACUUUGAAUAUGCACAGAUUCAUUGUGGUGUCUUAACGCUCCCACAGCCUUUCUCCGUUUGUUGGGCUGUUCAUUGUAUUUAUCGUUGUGGACUUUAAAGAGAGUGCCCUGAUUUAUUGAAAGCAUCAGAUUUUGAGCAUUUAUUGCUUCUGAGAAUGGAGAUCUGAGAGCGGUCGGGCUUUGUGUAACCAUCUGAAGUUAAUACAGGGUCACAGCUAACUAUAGCUUUGGAGUCGAGCAUCAUCAGUGUAAGUUCUGCACUCAGUAUGACUUGGCCUCUCAGUGACCACGGUCUUAAUGUUUGUAAGCCCUCAGAUCUAAUAGUAUGAAUAAACUCUCUGUCAGGGAAAAACUUCACUGAUAUUUUUUUUGUGUUACACAACAAUCAACUGCUAAAUUCAUAAAAAAGGCAUCCAGUAUUAACUUCAGAGAACAUAUGAACAUAUUUCGACAAAGCUUUUUUUCCACUGAAGCUUGUGAACUGCGGGAACUGGUUUAAUCCACACUUCUCACGUACAGGAAAUGGGUUACCCACUGUGCAUCAGGCAAACAGGAUUUAAGAAGCAUCAAGCCACAAUCAACGCAAUAGGCUGACCUUCUGACCUCGUUCCACAUAUUAGCCUCAAAAGGAUCGUGAGAUUGAAAUUAUUAGAUACAGUGAAUCUAAUUUAUGUUUCAUGAUUAAUACGACCUUUUGACAAGCACAUAAUAGGUCUCAGUGUACUCAGCCUGGAGGUGCUGUGGAAAAUAUCUUAGCAAGUGGCCCCUCUGAAAGAAGCUCUGCAGUCCUCCUUAGAAGGAAAUAAAGUACAGCUCUAUUGAAAUAAGCAUUUUAUGAUGUAUUACUGUAUAGACCAUAACAUUGUCACUGGUAUCAAUGGUAUUUUCCUAUAUCAUGAUAGUAUCAAAAUACAAAAUCUGUUAAAAAUUUAUCUAGAAUCAGAUUUUUAAGCCAGUGUGGCAAAGAUGUUACCAUUAUGUGUUGGUAUGUGUUCAGUGACCUUUUUCAGUGCUGUGUGCAGGUUGUAAUUACAAACAUUUAAAAAAAAAAUACCCUGUUUUGUGUGCAUAUGACUUUUGCAUAUGACUGAAGAAAGAAAGACAUCAGGUAUAGUAUGUGCAAGAUACAAGUAUCGUGACAACCCUAAUGGGGUACUAUCAUACUGUUGUGUUAUACUCGGCUAUUCUUUAUGAUCUGGAAAAUAUGAGCAACGUUCUUUUUGAAAAAAUACUGUCCAGCAAGACGAAUGUAAAUGGAAAGGAACACUGAUGUCCUGUCUGACAGUAUCACUGGUACUAAUGGUUAUGUUCCUAUUUUAUUUGCAGGUCACCUCUUUCACGGUAAACACACCAAAAUGUGGAAAAGAGCAAAGACCGAGGGCUCCGCUCCCAGCAGACGAAGUACAGUACUGCAAUCCUUCCCUUCUCUUUAAAUUUCUUAUUUUCCGCUGCUUAUUCCUGUUUCAUUGCACUGAUUAAAAUAAUAAUUAAGGGGUACUAAAGUGGUAAACAGCAGAUUGAGGCAAGCUGUCAGUGGAAGUUUUUGCAAUGACCAAUUAAAUUUUUACAGAGAUUAACAUUA